UAAUCCCUACGGGGGGCAGCAGUCGGGAAUAUUGCGCAAUGGAGGAAACUCUGACGCAGCAACGCCGCGUGAAGGAAGAAGGCUUUCGGGUUGUAAACUUCUUUUGUCAGGGACGAAGCAAGUGACGGUACCUGACGAAUAAGCCACGGCUAACUACGUGCCAGCAGCCGCGGUAAUACGUAGGUGGCAAGCGUUAUCCGGAUUUAUUGGGUGUAAAGGGCGUGUAGGCGGGAAUGCAAGUCAGAUGUGAAAACUAUGGGCUCAACCCAUAGCCUGCAUUUGAAACUGUAUUUCUUGAGUGCUGG
rnacentral:rRNA from 1 species